rnacentral:rRNA from 1 species
GACGAACGCUGGCGGCGUGCUUAACACAUGCAAGUCGAACGGAAAGGCCCUGCUUGCAGGGUACUCGAGUGGCGAACGGGUGAGUAACACGUGGGUGAUCUGCCCUGCGCUUCGGGAUAAGCCUGGGAAACUGGGUCUAAUACCGGAUAGGAGCCAUUUUUAGUGUGAUGGUUGGAAAGUUUUUUCGGUGUAGGAUGAGCUCGCGGCCUAUCAGCUUGUUGGUGGGGUAAUGGCCUACCAAGGCGGCGACGGGUAGCCGGCCUGAGAGGGUGGACGGCCACAUUGGGACUGAGAUACGGCCCAGACUCCUACGGGAGGCAGCAGUGGGGAAUAUUGCACAAUGGGCGCAAGCCUGAUGCAGCGACGCCGCGUGGGGGAUGACGGCCUUCGGGUUGUAAACUCCUUUCGCUAGGGACGAAGCUUUUUGUGACGGUACCUAGAUAAGAAGCACCGGCUAACUACGU